rnacentral:snRNA from 1 species
CCAAGCUUAGCUUAAUCGUU